UAAUGUUUUGUAGCUGAGUUCAUAUCAGUGUUCAGCAGCUGUGGCUUUACACAGUGUGCAAUGGCUGAUUCGCUUUCCACUCGAGUCAGCAACAAGUGGGUCAAGUGCCAAUAGUUACAUGACUGCGAGGGUAAAAGUCAGUUCCAAAUUCCCGUGAUAACAUCGUCAUCCACUCAACAAUUGUUUUUAGGAGAGAGUUGAAGCGGGCACUUCCAUAGUUAUGAUGCCUGGCGAUAGAGUCCUCAGGGUAGAGGGUGGAUCUGAAGUUAAUAUUUCCUCUGAAUUGAUUCCCAAGGCAUCUGGGUCAUUAAUGAUUUGCAGAGAUUAAGGGGUACAUCAGCAUAUCAACCCCGCCAUCCUUACAGAAUUUGAGGUGGUUGCCAUUUGUGAUUUGUGCUGAAAUAUCACAGGAUGACUUGAAACAGGCAUUAUUAUUGAGGAAACCGAUUCAUCGAUGUGUGAAACUGAUCAUUCCAUGAGGCAAAAAUGGCAAACUUAAUGCAACAAUAGCAGUCAACAAAGCAGUGAUUUACAAUCUGCAUCAACUUCCUCGGAUCCAGGAACUAUUGGCAUAAAUUUAGGACUCCACAGUCUUCAAGAAUUGGCAUAUACAAUAGAAUUAUCUUCCGAUACAACUAGCAGAACAAAGCCAAUGUUUGGCAGCUUCUGUACUCAUAUAAUGGUGCUUGCAGUGUCCCAGAGUGCCCUAUGAAUUAAGAUCUGCCCUAACUGGUUUCCAGUAGAUCAUUUGUUCAGUUUUGGUAGACACUGAGGGAAUG